rnacentral:rRNA from 1 species
UACGGAGGGUGCAAGCGUUAUCCGGAUUCACUGGGUUUAAAGGGUGCGUAGGAGGGCAGGUAAGUCCGUGGUGAAAUCUCUGAGCUUAACUCAGAAACUGCCGUGGAUACUACCGGUCUUGAAUACCGUGGAGGUGAGCGGAAUAUGUCAUGUAGCGGUGAAAUGCUUAGAUAUGACAUAGAACACCAAUUGCGAAGGCAGCUCACUACCCGAAUAUUGACUCUGAGGCACGAAAGCGUGGGGAUCAAACAGG